rnacentral:rRNA from 1 species
CUGGCGGCGUGCUUAACACAUGCAAGUCGAACGGAAAGGCCCUGCUUUUGUGGGGUGCUCGAGUGGCGAACGGGUGAGUAACACGUGAGUAACCUGCCCUUGACUUUGGGAUAACUUCAGGAAACUGGGGCUAAUACCGGAUAGGAGCUCCUGCUGCAUGGUGGGGGUUGGAAAGUUUCGGCGGUUGGGGAUGGACUCGCGGCUUAUCAGCUUGUUGGUGGGGUAGUGGCUUACCAAGGCUUUGACGGGUAGCCGGCCUGAGAGAGUGACCGGCCACAUUGGGACUGAGAUACGGCCCAGACUCCUACGGGAGGCAGCAGUGGGGAAUAUUGCACAAUGGGCGGAAGCCUGAUGCAGCAACGCCGCGUGCGGGAUGACGGCCUUCGGGUUGUAAACCGCUUUCGCCUGUGACGAAGCGUGAGUGACGGUAAUGGGUAAAGAAGCACCGGCUAACUACGUGCCAGCAGCCGCGGUGAUACGUAGGGUGCGAGCGUUGUCCGGAUUUAUUGGGCGUAAAGGGCUCGUAGGUGGUUGAUCGCGUCGGAAGUGUAAUCUUGGGGCUUAACCCUGAGCGUGCUUUCGAUACGGGUUGACUUGAGGAAGGUAGGGGAGAAUGGAAUUCCUGGUGGAGCGGUGGAAUGCGCAGAUAUCAGGAGGAACACCAGUGGCGAAGGCGGUUCUCUGGGCCUUUCCUGACGCUGAGGAGCGAAAGCGUGGGGAGCGAACAGGCUUAGAUACCCUGGUAGUCCACGCUGUAAACGGUGGGUACUAGGUGUGGGGUCCAUUCCACGGGUUCCGUGCCGUAGCUAACGCUUUAAGUACCCCGCCUGGGGAGUACGGCCGCAAGGCUAAAACUCAAAGGAAUUGACGGGGCCCCGCACAAGCGGCGGAGCAUGCGGAUUAAUUCGAUGCAACGCGUAGAACCUUACCUGGGUUUGACAUGGAUCGGGAGUGCUCAGAGAUGGGUGUGCCUCUUUUGGGGUCGGUUCACAGGUGGUGCAUGGCUGUCGUCAGCUCGUGUCGUGAGAUGUUGGGUUAAGUCCCGCAACGAGCGCAACCCUUGUUCACUGUUGCCAGCACGUUAUGGUGGGGACUCAGUGGAGACCGCCGGGGUCAACUCGGAGGAAGGUGGGGAUGACGUCAAGUCAUCAUGCCCCUUAUGUCCAGGGCUUCACGCAUGCUACAAUGGCUGGUACAGAGAGUGGCGAGCCUGUGAGGGUGAGCGAAUCUCGGAAAGCCGGUCUCAGUUCGGAUUGGGGUCUGCAACUCGACCUCAUGAAGUCGGAGUCGCUAGUAAUCGCAGAUCAGCAACGCUGCGGUGAAUACGUUCCCGGGGCUUGUACACACCGCCCGUCAAGUCAUGAAAGUUGGUAACACCCGAAGCCGGUGGCCUAACCGUUGUGGGGGAGCCGUCGAAGGUGGGACUGGA